GAGGAAUAAGCAUCGGCUAACUCCGUGCCAGCAGCCGCGGUAAUACGGGGAAUGCAAGCGUUAUCCGGAAUCAUUGGGCGUAAAGCGCCUGUAGGUUGUUUAAUAAGUCUGUUGUUAAAGACUAGGGCUUAACCCUAGAAAAGCAAUGGAAACUACUAGACUAGAGUAUGGCAGGGGUAGAGGGAAUUUCUAGUGUAGCGGUGAAAUGCGUAGAUAUUAGAAAGAACACCGGUGGCGAAAGCGCUCUACUGGACCAUUACUGACACUCAGAGGCGAAAGCUAGGGUAGCAAAAGGGAUUAGAUACCCCUGUAGUCCUAGCCGUAAACGAUGGAUACUACAUGUUGUGCAUUAUGUACAGUAUGGUAGCUAACGCGUUAAGUAUCCCGCCUGGGGAGUACGCUCGCAAGGGUGAAACUCAAAGGAAUUGACGGGGGCCCGCACAAGCGGUGGAGCAUGUGGUUUAAUUCGAUGCAACGCGAAGAACCUUACCAGGACUUGACAUACUACAAAUUCUUUGGAGACAAAGAAGUGCCUUCGGGAAUGUAGAUACAGGUGGUGCAUGGCUGUCGUCAGCUCGUGUCGUGAGAUGUUGGGUUAAGUCCCGCAACGAGCGCAACCCUUAUUUUUAGUUACCAAUUCGUUGGGUUCUCUAGAAAGACUGCCGGUGACAAACCGGAGGAAGGUGAGGAUGACGUCAAGUCAGCAUGCCCCUUAUGUCCUGGGCUACACACGUGCUACAAUGGUUAAGACAAAGAGUCGCGAGCUCGUAAGAGUCAGCUAAUCUCAUAAACUUAGCCCAAGUUCAGAUUGUAGGCUGCAACUCGCCUACGUGAAG
rnacentral:rRNA from 1 species